rnacentral:tRNA from 1 species
GGAGAGGUGACAGAGUGGUCGAAUGUGCCGGACUCGAAAUCCGGUGUCGAGUUCGCUCGACCGUGGGUUCGAAUCCCACCCUCUCCGCCA